UAUCUAUAGAUGGCCUAGGUGGCCACGGGUUUUCAUACGAGGCCAGCCUACAAAGGUAGAAAAAAAAUAAAUAAAAAACUUACGGUUAGGAAGACUAUCAGUGUAUAUUUAACGAUUUUGUCAACGAAUACUUUUGACGAUCAUCACUGAAAUUAAUCUAUUUCAAUUGCAUUAGCUUACUAUAUUUUAUACGAUCUCAUAAAAUCUAUCAGAAUGUCCGGACGAGAAGGUGGCAAAAAAAAACCACUAAAGGCUCCUAAAAAAGAAAGCAAAGAAUUGGAUGACGACGAUCUCGCAUUUAAGCAAAAACAAAAGGAACAACAGAAAGCUUUAGCAGAAGCUGCAAAAAAGGCUGGCCAAAAAGGGCCUUUGGUCACUGGAGGAAUAAAAAAAUCCGGCAAGAAAUAGUAAUAAUUGUUUAAAUAUUUAUUUAAUGAAAAUUCCAUCGAUACUAUACAUUAUACUUAAGUAAUGAGUUAAUAAAAUUUAAUAUUAAAACUUAA